rnacentral:tRNA from 1 species
GCCUACAUAGCUCAGUUGGUAGAGCACUUCCUUGGUAAGGAAGAGGUCGCUGGUUCGAGUCCAGUUGUAGGCU